AGCCAAUGAUGAUAAACCAAACGAAUGCAGGGAGUGGGCAGCUGGCAACAGUUGGCGCACGCAUGACCAGCAACUAAUCUUCUCGCUGAUGGCU